rnacentral:lncRNA from 1 species
AUUUUUUUUGUAUUUUUAGUAGAGACGGGGUUUCACCGUGUUAGCCAGGAUGGGGGAUCACAUUUUAAUAAGUAGGUACUCAGGGCUGGGGUGUACCUGUUGCUGCCUGACCACUGCUGGUGUGUGUGGGUAUAAGGUGACAAAACCUCCUACCCCUGUGAGGUUGUUUCAAGGAUUAAAUGAGUUGAGAUGGGUAAGCAUCUAACAAAGAUCCAGAUUAUUUAGUAUGCAUCCCCUGAAUUAUUGCUAACAUAAUUUUAAUGAUUGGGGAAUUUUAUCUGUGGCUGCCAGUCCCUACGAGAGAGCUGCCUGGGUCACAUGUCAGAUAGCUCAAGCUUUGAAUCACUGAAACGAAACGGUCCACUUCCCUGUCCCUUUAGGAACAAGGCUUCGAGGUCUGUGGCAAGCCUCAGCAGGCAUUUGGAGUUCAAGGUCUGUUCUCUUUCUGUGCCAUAGAGGUGGGGAGACAAGGUAGGGUGUUGCUUCUUGCCUGGAGCGCAGAUGCUACCAGAAACCAACACAACCAAAGUUGCCCGGGAGCCCCCAGAAGCAGCAGAGUGGCCAUCAACUGCCAAGGGGCCAGGGUAGGCCACAGAGGCCUGGGGCCCAGGAGGGAUGGUCUGUGGGGAGAAAGGGGAUUAUUGUGAACAUCAACGCUGGGGAUAAUGUGCCCUGAAGACAGCAGCAUAUCACGUUUGGACGGUUGGUGGACCCCAUCUGGUCCCACUCAUAAGGAGAACAGAGGCCCUGGGGUGUGCUGGGACUUGCCUGAGGCCUCAGACCGGGACUGGGUGCUCCUCCGCACCUCCUAUGAGGGAGGGUGUCCGUGUCUGUGAGGACAGCUCAGCAGGGCUGGGAACCUGGGGGCAGUGCUGGGGGACAUGUGUGAGACUAGCGUGUGUGGGCCUUGCUCGGCUUGCCCUGGUGCCCUGAGAAAAACCUGGUAUUUGAAAAUACACAUGGACUGCUGGAAGGUCAGGAAAUCCAGGGUUUUGUUCUGAGGCAGUGGAAGUGUUACCGUGAGCCUGUGUUGGCCUCUCUCCUCACUCCACCUGCAGCCAAUUCAGCCACACUGCCUUUGCAUGGAACCCAGGGUUGCAGGCCGCGUGUGUAGAUGCUGAUUUAGGCCCAAGCACUCAGCUGUCAGCAGGAAGGACCAUAGUGUUUUCUUCUAGUUUUAGAUAUGCACUCGUUCUGUGUUUUAAAGUCACAGCUGUGAGCCAAUAUGGGAAGAAGUGAAGUGGCCUCUAGGAGGGACUGAGCACCCUGUCCUUGGAGGUAUGCAAGCCCAGGCUACACCCUUCCUGUCUGGGAUGAUAUGGCUGGGGGUGGGCUUUGUGCUGCGUGGACCAUGGCAAGCCUUUCCAUCUCUGAGAGGUAGUGGUCCUUCCCGUGCCUUCUGUUAAAGAUAAUUUUUUAAAAAAAGGCAUAACUCAUAUAUAUUACAUGUACACAUGUCAAAGAUUUUAUUUAACUCAGUAAUUGAGAGUGCUGCUAAGAUUAACAGCCAGUUCAAAAGAGAAAUCACAAUGAACCAUAAAUCUGUAUGGAGUAAAGGAAAGUUGAAACUGGCUGGGGUUUUUUUUUUUUUUUUUUUUUUUGAGGAGAAAGGUCAAUUGAAUCUUAUUCGUAUAAUAUGCACAUCCAUAGACAAGAAUUAUUUUGCAUUAACUCUACAACUUAGUUGUAAAAAUAGCUCAAAGGCAGUGAAAGACUAGAAUCAGAUAAUUGGAAGGGUGCACCCUAAGCAAUGCAUAGUUCUAUUUUCUUUCUUUUUUUUUUUGAGACAGAGUUUCCCUCUUGUCACACAGGCUGGAGCGCAGUGGUGCAAUCUUGGCUCAUUGCAACCUCUGCCUCCCGGGUUCAAGUGAUUCUCCUGACUCAGCCUCCUGAGUAGCUGGGAUUACAGGCGCAUGCCACCACAACUGGCUAAUUUUUGUAUUUUUAGUAGAUACAGGGUUUCACUGUGUUGGCCAGGUUGGUCUCAUACUCCUGACCUCAGGUGAUCCACCCGCCUCGGCCUCCCAAAAUGUUGGGAUUACAGGCGUCAGCCACCACGCCCGGCCCCAAUGCAUAGUUUUUUACUGAAGACAACCAGAAUCUCUGUUGCUUAUUCCAAAUUUCCUUCCACCACUUGUCCAUCCAGCAGAGCCACUUUUAAAAUAGGACACAGGCAGAAAUUUAAAGGAGUCAAUAUCUCAUGGUGAAAAGUGAAUCCUGAGGGUUAGAGCAUCCACCAGGUGCCCUAGGUAAGGGCCAGCCACUCUGGGAGGCAGCCCGGGGCACUCACUGUCCUCUCAGUAGUAAAUGAAAUCACUCAGGCCAUGUCUGCUACCCAGAGAGCCUGAGUGUCCUCAAAUGCUUGUUCUGCCUCUCCAUCCACUCCUGCAGACACCUCAGUGGCUGCAUCCCAAACCGCUGAACUUUGCUUCUCUUUCUCCAACCCCCAAUUCCACCCACAUCCAAAACUGCUCUGCCCCCUAUUCCCAUCUCAGCUGAGGGUACUAUCAUCCACCCUGUGGCCACAUCCAGGAAUGUGUGUAUCACCUGGGCUCUGAGGAUGACAUCAGCUCUUCUAAGUCAACAGAAUGUCGGGUCUGUUCUAAAAGUCUCAUCUGACAAGGAGAUCUUUAAGGCUUUACUCCCUUAAAGGCUUUACUCCCAUCAUGAUGGGAUAACCAUCAUGAUGGAUUUCAGUGUCAUUCUGUCUUUUUCUUCGGAAUGAUUCCUGGGACUCGCCUUGUUUGCAACAUGUGCAUUGAAAUAUCUUUUCAACAUAACUUUGUUCUUAAUUGUGUUUACUUCCUUUCUCUGUGAAUCUCAGUGAUUCCUGGAAGCUGUGGUUGGUGGGGGAUGGGGUGGGAGGACUUUGGUAGUAUAAAAGAGUACCUGCAAUGAAUGUUCUAAGAAACUGGAGUGUUGGGGUCCUCCAGCCCUUGGCUGGUAAACUCUCCACUCCUUCCUCUUUGCAACACAAUUCUCAUAACUGGCAAAGGUGUGCAUGUAAAAUUUGUGACUGUAGUCUGAGGUUUUUUUUCCCUGUACAAUUCCGCCUUCCCCCCUGUAAGCCUGUACCAGGAGAGGUCUCAGCUGCCUUGGAGGCGGUGAGACACGUGGGUGCUCACUGUGGCCCUCAAGGGUGAGGCUGGCACUGGGGCAUCUGGGGCCAGAAGUCCUCCUUUAGUCCCAAGUCUCUGCCACUCAAGUGCAUCAGUGAGAGGUCCUCAUAGAAAAUCUACUGUGGGCACAAAGCUGCCAGGCUGAUGGGGGUGGGGAGCAAACGAACACCCUUUUCCCCUUUUACACCAGAGGAAAGAGACUUAGACUGAGGAACUUGCCUGCUGCCAGACAGCUGGGAGGUGGUAGAACCGGGCUUACAGCCCAGGGUUUCCACUCUAGGAACUCUUCUCCCUUCCUCUGAUGACACUAACUCGCAGGCCAUGAUCAAUGAGCAACGAUGUAGGCAGGCACUGACGAGGCACAGCAGGAAGGCAGCUCAGUGCCCAUGACGGCCAGGAACUGGGUACCAUUUCCUCAGCAAAAUGGGAUAGUAACUCCCACACUGCAGCUACGCACUUGGGCAGUGGUUCACAAGGCCAGCAGCCACAACAUCACCCCAGACCAGCAGCAGCUGCAGCAUUACCCCCAGCACUUGUUAAAAGAUGCAAAUUCAGGCCAGGUGUGGUGGCUCGUGCCUGUAAUCCCAGUACUUUGGGAAGCCAAGGCGGGUGGGUCACCUGAGGUCAGGAGUUCGAGACCAGCCUGGCCAAUGUGGUGAAACCCUGUCUCUACUAAAAAUACAAAAAAUGACCCGGGCAUGGUUGUGGGCGCCUGUAAUCCCAGCUACCCAGGAGACCGAGGCAGGAGAAUCACUUGAACCCGGGAGGCAGAGGUUGCAGUCAGCCGAGAUUGUGCCAUUACACUCCAGCCUGGGCAACAAGAGCGAAACUCUGUUUCAAUAAAUAAAUAAAAAUGCAAAUUGUAUGCCCCUUCCUUCAGGCCUAUGGGACCAAAAACUGGGAUGGGGCCCAAUAAAAUGUUUUAACCAGCCCUUCGGUGGUUACAGAAGGAUAGAGCCAGAAUAGACUAACCACUGUAACAAACAUUACCUAUACUUGGGAGGCUUUGAAAAAUGUUUAUUUAGCCGGGUGCGGUGGCUCACGCCUGUAAUCCCAACACUUUGGGAGGCUGAGGCGGGCGGAUCACGAGGUCAGGAGAUUGAGACCAGCCUGGCUAACACAGUGAAACCCCGUCUCUACUAAAAAUACAAAAAAUUAGCCAGGUGUGGUGGCAGGUGCCUGUAGUCCCAGCUACUCUGGAGGCUGAGGCAGUAGAAUUUCUUGAACCCAGGAGGCGGGGCUUGCAGUAAGUCGAGAUCACGCCACUGCACUCCAGCCUGGGUGACAGAGUGAGACUCCAUCUCAAAAAAAAAAAAAAAGGAAAGAAAAAUGUUUAUUUUUUUGCUCAUGCCACAGUCUCUGGUAGUUGCUGGGAACUAGGGUGGGGGAUUCUCUGCUCCACACAGUCUUUCAUGGACCCAGGUUCCUUUCCUGUUGUGGGUCCAGCCUCCUGUAGCUGUUGGAGGCAUCUCUAGUCAGCUGGUGGUUGGGGAAGAGGUGAGGAUCAGGGAGGGAAGAUGGAGAGUACUCUGCUUGUUCUCACAUUCUGCUGGCCAGAACUCACAAGCCACCUGAAAUGAUGCAAAGGUCUAGCUGUGUGUGUAGGAGAAAGAAGAGAGGCCAGAUAUUGGAAGACAGCAGUGGUCUGUGCCCCAGGCCCCAUGGUUUAGGGAAGUGAACCUUGGCACUGGAUUUCCUGGCUUUCUAAAUCUCCCUUUAUAGGGAACUUAGGGCCCAGUCUGUGGUGGGUGGAUUUGCCUGGUUCACAGCCUCUGGUCAGCCUUCUUUCUGCUCCACAGGGCGGCCUGGAGAUGGUGGGCUCCUUGUCACACUGGUUGGGGAUGUGGGCUCCAUGGGGCCAGAGAUGUGUGUGCUCUGUGUUCAGAUUAAGGGACAGACGGCACAUGAAUUCCUUCAGUGCCCUCCAGAUUUGGUCACUGGGGAGGGGUAGGCUGAGCAGUAGCUCUUGGGUCUGUAGUAGUGUGACCCUGGAAGGACUGUCCAGCUGAAAACAAGAGCCUGGGGCGUGGGGAGGGGAGGGGUUACUCAGGGUUCCAUGAGACCUGGGUUUAAGUCCUGGAUCCAUCAUUAGCAGCUAUGUGAACUUAUGCCUCACUUUCCUCAAAUAUGAACUUGAGAUAAUGAAAUUACCUUCCUCAUAAUACUGUUCUAAGAAUUGAAUGAGGAAAGGUUUACAAUUCGGCCCUGGUUGUUCCACUGGGGAGGGAACAGAGAUUGGGGGCACAGGGCUCCCCUGGCCUGGGGGAGUCUGGCUCACUCAAGUUCUCAGUCAUUUGCAAGGCAAGGACCCUGCUUCUCCUUGCUCUGGGUCCGAGUAGUCUCAAGCCCAGUGGGCAGGGCCUGUGGUGUGGAUGGACUCGUCUGCAGUGAGUCAGGCAGCAGGCAGAGCUGGCAGGCUGUGUGGUCUCUAGUGGGUACCAGGGGACCUGGGAGGGCCUUGUGGGAGGUUGUCCACGGUGUGAGCCAGUUUGCCAUCUGGGGUCCUGGAGUUCCCUCCCGCCCUUUGAGUUAAAAAGAGUCAGUCCUGGGCUGAGACUUAAUUGCGCUAGUGCUGAGUGACCUUGUGUCAGGGGAAAUCGGAUGGGGCAAAGUGUUUUUUAAUUAGCAGGACUCACUGACCUUUCCUUCACUGUCAGCAACUUCUCACAGGGAGGCAGAGCAAGGGGGGCUGGAGCCCCGCAUCUCUCUAAUGGAGCCUAUGUCCAACAAGGAGGUGGAUGGCUGGAUUCAGGGCCCUGGGAGGACUUCAUGUGGGAAGCAGACCUCAGGAAGGGCCCUUAGUGAUGGUGUGGGCCAGGGUUCUCACCUCCUUAGUCUCCUGUCCUGUCCAUCUCCGCAGAUCCUAGGCAAAAGAAGCGGAGAAACACUCAAGCCACUGGGGUGGUUAGGGCACACUGGUGGCAACUGUUUAAAACCUUAACUAAAACAAGGUUAAGCAAAAGGAGUUUACAGGCUCUCAUAGAUGGGAAGGAUGUGGGAGGGUCACAGACUGAGAGGAACCAGGGCUGUGGCUGCUGGAAGGAGCCUCACCACCGCCAGUGUGUUUCCUCCCCGUCGUCGGCAUCUCUGCUUCUCUCUGCACGCCAGCAGCUCUCUCUUAGGGCACGCAGACCUUUCCUCUGCAGGGGAACACGAGUGCCGGCAGCCCCGAGUUAGUGACUAUCAUAGAAACUCAGUGUAUUUCUCUCUUGUUUAUCAUUCCGAGUCCUGAGUCACAGGCUUGUCCAGCACUCAAGACUUUUUCUUUUCUCUAUUUUUUGAAACGGAUUCUCGCUCUGUCCCCCAGGCUGGAGUGCAGUGGCCCGAUUUUGGGUGCAAGCGAUUCUCCUGCCUCAACCUCCCGAGUAGCUGGGACUACAGGUGUGCGCCACCACAUCCAGCUAAUUUUUGUAUUUUUAGUAGAGACGGAGUUUCACUAUGUUGGCCAGGCUGGUUUCAAACUCCUGACCUCCCGCCGGCCUCAGCCUCCCAAAGUGCUGGGAUUACAGGCAUGAGCCACCACGCCUGGCCAAGAUUUUUUCUUUUAAACCUGGAGUAUGGAGAUGCUCACUAGGCAGACAGAAUCAGCCACCACAGCCCACUCCCUCAGCCAGUAUUACUUUGACUAAGUUAGUGAGGAACCAGGCCCCAGAUUAAGAAGCAGAACUCACACUGUCAUCUGCUGUGUGCCUGGCUGGCUCAUGCAUACCUUGUCUAUCUAAUGUGGACCAAAGCCCUGUGGCACACCCUGCUGGUUACCCCCAGUGGUUACCCUGGCACAGAGGAGGAAAGGGAGUCGUGGGAGGGAGAAGGACUUCCCUGGGAGGUCUCUGGGCUGGCAAGUUGGGUGACACAGGUCCGGUUGGCUGCAAGCCUGGGCUCUGCUGUUGUAAUCAUAAAUGUGUGUGUGUGUACAGUUGUUUACAAUGUCAGCAUGGGUGUCCUUGUUUGUUAGAGAUACAUGCCACUGCUCCCAUCAUGAGGAAAAUCCCAAGCCCUCCCCAUGAUUUUUGCCAGUUUCUGGGGACUCAUGCUCCUGGCAGCCCAUGUGUCCCCAACUCCUGUGUCCUUUAGGGACCUCUGUUGAGCCCUGCCUCUAUUCUGGCAGAAUUAGAGAAAAUUCUUUAAAAAAACAAUAAAGUUUAAAUUCAUUUAAAAAAAUAAUAAAAAAUCUCACAGCAUGAGUUUUGAUGAGAUUUGGGGCAAGGUGGGCCACAACCUUGGGUUGUAUGGCCACCUCCCCCUCUUCUUCCCCUGUUGUCUCUGCAGCUCAGAAACCCCAAUUUCCUGGCCUGUGUUAUGUGGAGGAGCUGAGCUCACCCCCUACAGCUUCAUCUCCAAACCUAGCAAGGAUCCUGCCCAGAUCAGGAGAUCCUCCUUUUAACAGAAGUUAUUUACACUCCUUAGAAAGCAGUGGGGGUGGAACGAUUCUUUUUCCUGAUGCAGAGAUGUAAAACUGGGACAUUGCUACACAUAAUAUUUUAAACCUGUCUUCCCUCUUACCAACGAACACAUCACUAGCACCAUCUAUGCCAAUACAUUUCUCAACAUCAAUUUCAGUGGCUGUAUUACAUUUUAUCCUACGGAUGUGCUCUCAUUUAUAAUCUAAACCACUUUUAUUGAACACAUCAGUUAUUCUGAAAUUUUCAGUGUUAUGAUGGAUGUUGCAGUAAUUAUUCUUAUAUAUGCACAGAACCCCCAGAGGACAUGACUACUGAAGGCUGUGCUGGCAGGAUCACAGGUUUCCACACUGUUAAAUUCAUUCCAAGUAUUUCAUACAUGCUGUUCCUAUUAUGAAAGGAUCUUUUUUUUCACAUGGCAUUUUCUAAGUAGUUGUUGCAUUCAUAUAGGAGAUGCUAUUGAUUUUGACACCCAUAAUUUUUCAGUGGAGACAAGGCAGAAACUACUCCAGACUCUCACCUGCUGUUGCUGAUCCUUACAUGGUGGCUGUGCCAGGCUCAGCCGCGCUGAGAUGACAGGGCUGUCUGGCCAUCAUUGGUCAUAUGGACUUCAGAUUUGAAAGGAUUUUAUGUAGAAGCAGAGUGCCUGAUAGGACUCUCCGGGACCCCCAUUUCUGCCCUGCUUGGCUCCCACUGGCAAGGCUGGCUCAGUUCCUGUCACCUUCUCCUGGACUUUGGCCAGAGUCCACUGGCUGUUUCCCCUGCCUCCUGCUCUCCCAGUGCCCUCUCCACACCAGUGCCAGAGCUGCUUCUAAGAGAUGCCUCAAAGCCCGCUUCCAGCUUAGGAACCCCAGGGAACAUGGAUGGUUUCUCCAUUGCCACUUCCUAGCCUUCCUGGCAUAGGAAGGUCUGGUUUGCCUGCAGGUCCCUCUCUGGGGGGGUCCCUGCUCCAUAGAUGCUGAGGCUCCAGAAGUCUGUUCUUUUAUAUCACAUUUGAAAACCUUUGAAAUGCAUUAUAGUUGAGUCAUAUGAAUUAUGUAAGUAUAUCCUACUCAUUGUAUAAAACAACACAGAAUUGUCUAAAGUGUCAUUUUUCUCCGCAUUCCAAGAAAAAGCUAAGAAGCAAUGCUAAACAAUUAGGCGUGUGAUCUUCUGUACUUUUCCCUUUGUCUCCACAAAAGUAAUCGGACAUACAGAAUUUUAAAAAUGGAUUACCCUGGGAAAGGCUCCUCCUCUCCCUCUCCCUCCUCUCCCUCUCCCUCCUCUCCCUCUCCCUCCUCUCCCUCUCCCUCCUCUCCCUCUCCCUCCUCUCCCUCUCCCUCCUCUCCCUCUCCCUCUCCCUCUCCCCACGGUCUCCCUCUCCCUCUCUUUCCACGGUCUCCCCCUGAUGCCGAGCCAAAGCUGGACUGUACUGCUGCCAUCUCGGCUCACUGCAACCUCCCUGCCUGAUUCUCCUGCCUCAGCCUGCCGAGUGCCUGCGAUUGCAGGCGCGCGCCGCCACGCCUGACUGGUUUUCGUAUUUUUUUGGUGGAGACGGGGUUUCGCUGUGUUGGCCGGGCUGGUCUCCAGCUCCUAACCGCGAGUGAUCCGCCAGCCUCAGCCUCCCGAGGUGCCGGGAUGGCAGACGGAGUCGUGUUCACUCAGUGCUCAAUGGUGCCCAGGCUGGAGUGCAGUGGCGUGAUCUCGGCUCGCUACAACCUCCACUUCCCAGCUGCCUGCCUUGGCCCCGCAAAGUGCCGAGAUUGCAGCCUCUGCCCGGCCGCCACCCCGUCUGGGAAGUGAGGAGCGUCUCUGCCUGGCCGCCCAUCGUCUGGGAUGUGAGGAGCCUCUCUGCCUGGCUGCCCAGUCUGGAAAGUGAGGAGCGUCUCUGCCCGGCCGCCAUCCCAUCUAGGAAGUGAGGAGCGUCUCUGCCAGGCCGCCCAUCUUCUGCGAUGUGGGGAGCGCCUCUGCCCUGCCGCCCCGUCUGGGAUGUGAGGAGCGUCUCUGCCCGGCUGCCCCGUCUGAGAAGUGAGGAGACCCUCUGCCUGGCAACCGCCCCGUCUGAGAAGUGAGGAGCCCCUCCGCCCAGCAGCCACACCCUCUGAGAAGUGAGGAGCCCCUCCGCCCGGCAGCCACUCCGUCUGGGAAGUGAGGAGCGUCUCCGCCUGGCAGCCACCCCGUCUGGGAGGGAGGUGGGGGUCAGCCCCCCGCCCGGCCAGCCGCCCUGUCCAGAAGGGAGGUGGGGGGGUUAGCCCCCCGCCCGGCCAGCCGCCCCAUCCAGGAGGGAGGUGGGGGGGGUCAUCCCUCUGCCCGGCCAGCUGCCCGUCCGGGAGGGAGGUGGGGGGGUCAGCCCCCCGCCCGGCCAGCCACCCCGUCCGGGAGGUGAGGGGCGCCUCUGCCCGGCCGCCCCUACUGGGAAGUGAGGAGCCCCUCUGCCCGGCCAGCCGCCCCGUCCAGGAAGGAUGUGGGGGGGUCAGCCCCGGGCCCGGCCAGCCGCCACAUCCGGGAGGUGAGGGGCGCCUCUGCCCGGCCGCCCCUACUGGGAAGAGAGGAGCCCCUCUGCCCGGCCAGCCGCCCCGUCCGGGAGGGAGGCGGGGAGGUCAGCCCCCCGCCCGGCCAGCCGCCCCGUCCAGGAGGGAGGCGGGGGGGUCAGCCCCCCGCCUGGCCAGCUGCCCCGUCCGGGAGGUGAGGGGCGCCUCUGCCUGGCCGCCCCUACUGGGACGUGAGGAGCCCCUCUGCCCGGCCAGCCGCCCCGUCCAGGAGGGAGGUGGGGGGGUCAGCCCCCCACCCGGCCAGCCGCCCCAUCCGGGAGGGAGGUGGGGGGGUCAGCCCCCCACCCGGCCAGCCGCCCCAUCCGGGAGGGAGGCGGGGAGGUCAGCCCCCCGCCCAGCCAGCCGCCCUGUCCGGGAGGGAGGCGGGGGGGUCAGCCCCCUGCCCGGCCAGCCGCCCCGUCCGGGAGGUGAGGGGCGCCUCUGCCCGGCCGCCCCUACUGGGAAGUGAGGAGCCCCUCUGCCCGGCCACCACCCCGUCUGGGAGGUGUACUCAACAGCUCAUUGAGAACGGGCCAUGAUGACAAUGGCGGUUUUGUGGAAUAGAAAGGGGGGAAAGGUGGGGAAAAGAUUGAGAAAUCGGAUGGUUGCCAUGUCUGUGUAGAAAGAGGUAGACAUGGGAGACUUUUCAUUUUGUUCUGUACUAAGAAAAAUUCUUCUGCCUUGGGAUCCUGUUGAUCUGUGACCUUACCCCCAACCCUGUGCUCUCUGAAACAUGUGCUAUGUCCACUCAGGGUUGAAUGGAUUAAGGGUGGUGCAAGAUGUGCUUUGUUAAACAGAUGCUUGAAGGCAGCAUGCUCAUUAAGAGUCAUCACCACUCCCUAAUCUCAAGUACCCAGGGACACAAACACUGCGGAAGGCUGCAGGGUCCUCUGCCUAGGAAAACCAGAGACCUUUGUUCACUUAUCUGCUGACCUUCCCUCCACUAUUGUCCUGUGACCCUGCCAAAUCCCCCUCUGCGAGAAACACCCAAGAAUGAUCAAUAAAAAAGAAAAAAAAUGGAUUACCCUGU